rnacentral:lncRNA from 1 species
AGCUUUGCACGUUGGAGGGCCAAUCUGCACUACUGUCUGUGUCACCAUAGAUGACUUCCUAUAUGCUCAAUGGAGCUGAAGCGCUUACUUUCCCCAAAGGAAGAACUCCAACUGGGUUGGGCUUCAGGGGGUCGUCUCUCAAUGGGAUAUGCCUUCCCAAGAUGGGUGUGGUCUCCGUUGGUGGUGGUAGUAUGAAGGCCAAAUCUUUAGUACCAGCGUGUGGCCUUUCCUCUUCUAGGCCAGCUUCCCAACCCAGGUUCAUUCAGCACAAAAAGGAGGCGUUUUGGUUUUAUAGGUU